GUCUUCGUGGUGUAGCGGUAGCACACUCGGCGCGUAUUCGAGAGGUCCAGGUUCGAGUCCCAGCAAGGGCA
rnacentral:tRNA from 1 species